AAUAUAAUCAGCUAAUAAAGCUAAUGAGUUCAUACCUCAUAUAUGAAAUUAUCUCAUAUUU
rnacentral:tRNA from 1 species